rnacentral:lncRNA from 1 species
GCGCACCCACGGGUGGGUGCUCCCGGGGCGCCCCUGGCUCAAGGUUCAGGGGUUCGGGGCUGGCUCCAGGUUCUGCUCAGUCUCCCCCAGGGUCCCGCCCCAUAGAGUCCGGCUUCCUGGGGGGAACGUGGACGGGACCGGGCCGGGUCCUCAGGCGCCUCCUCCCUCUGGAGGUUUGGUCGGGGGUCCCUGCGGCAGAAAGGGGGUGCGGCGUCCCGUCCCCGGCGCGCCCCCUCGGCCGGCGGCGGGUACAAUGUUACUCUUACUACUGUACUUCUCUUCGCUACAUUUCGUUCCAAAAUUCCACUCCCCGCACCCACAAUGCCCUGCGCCUUAAAGGGGCCGCGGACACCUCAAGGCAGUUUGGGGGGGGGGUGAAGGGCGCUUAAAAGGGCAACGCGGAACCCUAGACUUCCGCUGUUUACCUCUUCCCCAACGUUAUUGCAUGGGGAUGCAUGCCGAGGGUCGCCCCCAAAUUACGGGGGGAAGUUUGGUGGAGGGUAAGGGUUCCUUCCUGGAUCCCUCGUUCUCUCCCACGAUGGAAAUUCCUAGGAGGAUCUUAAUGGGGACACAAUUUCUUCUCACCCUCCCCUUCGACUUCUCCAUUUCUUCACAUUCUGCUUAAUGGAGGGGGCGGGGGGAGCGAUCUGGUUAAUCCUAGAUUCUCUCAAAUUUUCUCCCUUAAAGGCUACCUUCAGACUCCCAAAGUUCCCUUCUCUGCCAAUUUAUGAAGGGUUCCUGCGGGGUGAACCCUUUCCCCAGCACAGACGGGGGCGAUGGGCCUGGAGGGCCCCAUCCCUCUCACCGCCCCCCGCCCGCCCCAGGAAGGUGGAAUUGGGCUUCUGUCAAUUACAACGCAAACAAUGCUGACAAAUACAUCCUUCUGCUGCUGGGAAACUAUCCACAGUCCUCUCCCCGAACUGCCUUCUCCGCCGUGCAAAGGACUGCAGGCUUGAGCCCCAGCUCCCUCCAUCCCAUUGAGGUGGUGACUCCCACCCCCGCCUUCGUUUAUGUGACUCCACCCACCACCUCUUGGGACAGCUCCAAAUUCUUGUAGGCUACGUGGGACCAAUUCACCACUUCUCUCCUCCGAGACCCAGACCAUCCUCGGAGACAUCCCAGUGGUUUCUGCAGCACACCCAGUCUUUGGGGUUGGUCAUAAACAUUCCU